CCGGUUCAGAGACCACUGCUGUUUCGGUUCAGCCGCUCUUUCUUUAGUUCGAGUUGUUGAGACUGUUGCGAAAGUGGCUUGGAGCUGAGGUUUUGGUUGCCGCCAGUUCGGUUUGAGACAGAAAGGACUUGAUGAGGCAUAUGGGUUAUGGAUUUUCGUUUUGAGGAUAUGGGCGCAGAAGUUACGAAGAGCUUAUUU